UAAAUCGAUUGAGUUUCUGCCCUAUCAGCUUUGGAUGGUAGGAUAUGGGUCUAUCAUGGUAUUAACG